UUUCUUACAAUAAUAGCUACUAGUCUAGCUUUAAAAUGGCACCGUUUGAAGCCUUGUAUGGCCGAAGGUGUCGAAUCCCUUUGAGUUGGUCACAAGCCGGAGAGAGAAGAAUCUACGGACCCGACUUGGUGAUGGAAGCCGAAGAAGAAGUAAGAGUGAUUCAAGCACAUCUAAAAGCCGCACAAUCACGGCAAAAAAGUUACUUUGACAAAAGGAGCA
rnacentral:lncRNA from 1 species